UAAUACGUAGGUGGCAAGCGUUGUCCGGAAGUUACUGGGUGUAAGGAGCGUAGGCGGGGAGACAAGUUGAAUGUCUAAACUAUCGGCUUAACUGAUAGUCGCGUUCAAAACUAUCACUCUUGAGUGCAGUAGAGGUAGGCGGAAUUCCUAGUGUAGCGGUGAAAUGCGUAGAUAUUAGGAGGAACACCAGUGGCGAAGGCGGCCUACUGGGCUGUAACUGACGCUGAGGCUCGAAAGCGUGGGUAGCAAACAGGAUUAGAUACCCUGGUAGUCCACGCCGUAAACGAUGAUUACUAGGUGUGGGGGGACUGACCCCUUCCGUGCCGGGUCGACGCUUGCCACCUACGUAUUA
rnacentral:rRNA from 1 species